GAGUGAAGGAAAGCUCAUCAGUGGGGCUAUGAGCUGAGUGUGUUGUGUCACUCUACCACAGCCCUCGGGAAGGUCUGAGCCUAGGGCCAACAGCGGCCCUAACAGAGCCCUUCCUGAGCUCCUGAAGAGCUGAGUUCCCAGAGAGCUGGGCUCUGUGCAAGGACAAUCUGGUCAAGAGAUCUCCUAACAUCAAAAUAAAGAAGCAGAAUCUCUUACACCUACUAGGGGAAAUUAAAUUAGCUGGAGUUCUAAAAUAGUAUUCAAGACAGCAAAUACAUGCUUUUUAAUCUACUUGGCCGAAGAUAGGUGUAAUGUACCUGACUCUUUAUUGUUUCUAAGCUUUUAAGGAAAAUAAUCUUUUAAAACUC
ensembl:ribozyme RNaseP_nuc Nuclear RNase P